AAUAACUCGUGAAAUACGCUAAAAACGCUCACUUUCACACACGUAUAACUUCUGAACCGAUGGAUUCCGCGCCUUAAAACUAGGAUUUUCAGAUUCUACUCGUAAAAUACUUCAAGAAGGUAAAAAAAAAGGCCAUAAUUUUUGGGCCCCUGAGCUUAUUCUGGGAGACACGAUGAAUGUUUCUCAGUCCACAGUCUCCCGCAUAGUAUUUAGGGUGAGUUUACUAAUAGGCAGUCUGAUGACGGAGUAUAUCAAGUUUCCCAGGGAUCCGGACAAUUCCACUCAAAAUUGCAGGUUAUUCAAUAAUCUGGGACAGGGAAACGGAGCUAUUGGUUUACCAGGUGUGGAUUUUAUAUCAUUAUAACUUUUUCUAUAUACACAUAUACAUACAUACAUACAUAUACACAUUAGAUUAACAGCAUUCAACAACAUGAAAGAAAUGUACAGAAAUAGAAAAGGAUAUUUUUCAUUGAAUGUUCAGGCUGUCGUGGGUCCUCGUAUGGAAUUUUCCGUACAUCCCGAUUACACAUGGGAUAUGUGACGGGAGAAUUAGAUGGAAUCUUUGUCGGGGAAGGUGGAUAUCCAUAUCUGCCUUUUCUCAUGACACCUCUGCGGAAUCCACAGACUGAAGAAGAAAUAAGGUACAAUGAAAUCCAGAUCAGGACCCGACAGAUAGUAGAAAGAACGUUCGGUCUUUGGCAUUCUUGUAGAAGAAGAUGAAAUUGAAAACCAAAAUGAAGAUGGAGAAGAAUUAUUAGGAAACGUGGAAAAUUUUAAUGGCAUUGAUGGAUUUGCUACACGUGAAGCACUGAUUGCCCGUAUGUUUCAUGUAAUUUGUGUAAUUGUGUCAAACGAAAUGUAAUAAGGGGUUUUUCAUGCCGCAAGGCUUUUUCACCUUAUUGUGUCUAUCGAGCGAAUAAAUAAUCAUUAUUCUUUCAGCUCAAAUUGGUUUAAUUUAUUGAUUAAAAUAUUCUCAUCCUCAGUCAUAUCACAACCUAUACCUUAAACCACAGGAUUUUUGCAAUAUCUUUUGCAAUCACAUACUGCUGAUUUAUUAAUGAUCUUCAAUAAUUGAUAAGUUUGCUACAACUACUUUUAAUUCAUUUUUUAGGAUUCAUAAUCAAUAGAAAGAAUUACAUUUAAAUUUUUCUUUUAAAUAA